rnacentral:SRP_RNA from 1 species
GUCGGGUGCAGUGGCGUGUGCCUGUAAUCCAAGCUGCUGGGAGACUGAGGCUGGCGGAUCGCUUGAGUUCAGGGGUUCUGGGCUGCAGUGGACUAUGUUGAUCAGGUGUCCACACUAAGUUCGGUAUCGAUAUGGUGUUCCUUGGGGAGCUCGGGACCACCAGGUCGUCUAAGGAGGGGUGAACCGGCCCAGGUUGGAGACGGAGCAGGUCAAAGCCCCCGUGUCGAUCAGUAGUGGGAUCGCGCUUGUGAAUAGACACUGCAGUGCAGCCUGAGUGAUACAGUGAGACCCAGACUUUU